rnacentral:pre_miRNA from 1 species
CCGUGGGGCAGGGCUUAGCCCACCUGUGAACAGAGUUGGCAGCCGCGUCGUGUUCACAGUGGCUAAGUUCCGCUCCCCGG